GAUAAGAUGGCUGAAUUGAUAGGCUAUAAAUUGUAAAUUUAUAUAUGGUAUAAACCUCUUAUCA
rnacentral:tRNA from 1 species